rnacentral:rRNA from 1 species
GGGCUGCAGUCAAGAAUCUUCCGCAAUGGCCGAAAGGCUGACGGAGCGACGCCGCGUGUAGGAAGACGCCCUUCGGGGUGUAAACUACUUUUCUCUGGGACGAAUCCGUGACGGUACCAGAGGAAUAAGCAACUGCUAACCUCGUGCCAGCAGCAGCGGUAAUACGAGGGUUGCAAGCGUUAUCCGGAUUUAUUGGGUGUAAAGCGUCCCCAGGCGGCUUAAAAAGUUUUUAGUAAAAUCUUCGGGCCUAACCCGAAAUCCGCUAAAAAUACUAUUAAGCUAGAGACCGGGAGAGGUCAGCGGAAUGGCCGGUGUAGUAGUUAAAUGCGUUAAUAUCGGCUAGAACACCAAUAGCGAAGGCAGCUGACUAGAACGGUUCUGACGCUCAUAGGACGAAAGCGUGGGUAGCGAAUGGGAUUAGAUACCCCAGUAGUC